rnacentral:rRNA from 1 species
CGCUAAGUUUGAUGGCGACCGGCGCACGGGUGAGUAACACGUAUCCAACCUGCCGAUGACUCGGGGAUAGCCUUUCGAAAGAAAGAUUAAUACCCGAUGGCAUAGUUCUUCCGCAUGGUAGAACUAUUAAAGAAUUUCGGUCAUCGAUGGGGAUGCGUUCCAUUAGGUUGUUGGCGGGGUAACGGCCCACCAAGCCUUCGAUGGAUAGGGGUUCUGAGAGGAAGGUCCCCCACAUUGGAACUGAGACACGGUCCAAACUCCUACGGGAGGCAGCAUG